CAGGAAAGAUUCAUCACUUAACAUGACUGUCUCUCUAUGUCUCAGUCCACUCAAUUAUAAAAUAUGCAGGUUGUGCAACGAACAAGCAGCCACUUGUUGUGAAGUGAAUACAAUAGAGAGACGAAGUCCCUCCCCUUCCGGUGGACCAUAAUGGGACCUUAUUCCGGAAAAAAAUAUGUAAGGUAGUCAAUGGUGAGAGACUAAUAUGUUUUGAUCCUGUUUGAAUUGCGCCAUGAAUCUCACAUAUGAUGUUUGUCAAUUGAAAAUAUAAUUUUGCAAGUCAAGAAAGUCGCAGUUUGUUGUAGGACUGUUGGAGUUUCAGACAUGUGAU